AGUCGUAGUCGAUCUUAGCUACUUCGUUAAGUAGUUCGUAUUUUGUCGUCAACAGAAAACGAAGAAGUGAGGUUAUGAAAAUAUUGAUAACAGCUUCUACAAUCUAGUCAUUUUUAAAGAAGUGACAGAGACAGCAGCUGCGUGACAACUGAGCAAGAGCAAAUCGAAGCGAGAGCGAGGCGAGACCCAGGCGAGCUCAAUUCGAUUCACCCCACUCUCGCCUCUUUCACCUCGCACCAAUAUGCGCCGGCCAUUGACCCUUCUCAUCAAUGUUAUACAACGCAGCCCAGCUUUCACACCAAUGUUUUCAAAAUUGUCGGCCGUGCGGCUACCGAAGAACGGAAAGAUGAUCAUGAUUCAAGAUCAUAUUGUGAUAAUAUGAUUUAGCAUCUAAAGUUACCAGCUGUAAUAAACACGACACCCUGUGAUAAAUUGUGUACUGGUAUUAAAACGAUAGUUUGGA